GGGAGGCAGCAGUGGGGAAUUUUGGACAAUGGGCGCAAGCCUGAUCCAGCAAUGCCGCGUGCGGGAAGAAGGCCUUCGGGUUGUAAACCGCUUUUGGUAGGAACGAAAAGCUCUGGGCUAAUACCCUGGGGUGAUGACGGUACCUGCAGAAUAAGCACCAGCUAACUACGUGCCAGCAGCCGCGGUAAUACGUAGGGUGCGAGCGUUAAUCGGAAUUACUGGGCGUAAAGCGUGCGCAGGCGGUUGUGCAAGACAGGCGUGAAAUCCCCGGGCUUAACCUGGGAAUGGCGCUUGUGACUGCACGACUGGAGUGCGGCAGAGGGGGAUGGAAUUCCGCGUGUAGCAGUGAAAUGCGUAGAUAUGCGGAGGAACACCGAUGGCGAAGGCAGUCCCCUGGGCCUGCACUGACGCUCAUGCACGAAAGCGUGGGGAGCAAACAGGAUUAGAUACCCUGGUAGUCCACGCCCUAAACGAUGUCGACUGGUUGUUGGGCCUUGAGUGGCUCAGUAACGAAGCUAACGCGUGAAGUCGACCGCCUGGGGAGUACGGCCGCAAGGUUGACACUCAAAUGAAUUGACGG
rnacentral:rRNA from 1 species